rnacentral:rRNA from 1 species
GAGUUUGAUCCUGGCUCAGGAUGAACGCUAGCGGCAGGCUUAACACAUGCAAGUCGAGGGGUAACAGAAGUAGCUUGCUAUUUGCUGACGACCGGCGCACGGGUGCGUAACGCGUAUAGAAUCUACCUUAUACUGGGGGAUAGCCUUUGGAAACGAAGAUUAAUACCCCAUAGUAUUAUUUUUUGGCAUCAUUAAAUAAUUAAAGUUUCGGCGGUAUAAGAUGACUAUGCGUUCUAUUAGUUAGUUGGUAAGGUAACGGCUUACCAAGACUUCGAUAGAUAGGGGUCCUGAGUGGGAGAUCCCCCACACUGGUACUGAGACACGGACCAGACUCCUACGGGAGGCAGCUGUGAGGAAUAUUGGACAAUGGAGGCAACUCUGAUCCAGCCAUGCCGCGUGUAGGAAGACUGCCCUAUGGGUUGUAAACUACUUUUAUAUGGGAAGAAUAAGAUCUACGUGUAGAUUGAUGACGGUACCAUAAGAAUAAGCACCGGCUAACUCCGUGCCAGCAGCCGCGGUAAUACGGAGGGUGCAAGCGUUAUCCGGAAUCAUUGGGUUUAAAGGGUCCGUAGGCGGGCAUAUAAGUCAGUGGUGAAAGUCUGUGGCUUAACCAUAGAAUUGCCAUUGAUACUGUAUGUCUUGAAUUAUUGUGAAGUGGUUAGAAUAUGUAGUGUAGCGGUGAAAUGCUUAGAGAUUACAUAGAAUACCGAUUGCGAAGGCAGAUCACUAACAAUAUAUUGACGCUGAUGGACGAAAGCGUAGGUAGCGAACAGGAUUAGAUACCCUGGUAGUCUACGCCGUAAACGAUGGAUACUAGUUGUUUGGCCUUAGGGCUGAGUGACUAAGCGAAAGUG